rnacentral:rRNA from 1 species
GACGAACGCUGGCGGCGUGCUUAACACAUGCAAGUCGAACGGAAAGGCCCUGCUUUUGUGGGGUGCUCGAGUGGCGAACGGGUGAGUAACACGUGAGUAACCUGCCCUUGACUUUGGGAUAACUUCAGGAAACUGGGGCUAAUACCGGAUAGGAGCUCCUGCUGCAUGGUGGGGAUUGGAAAGUUUCGGCGGUUGGGGAUGGACUCGCGGCUUAUCAGCUUGUUGGUGGGGUAGUGGCUUACCAAGGCUUUGACGGGUAGCCGGCCUGAGAGGGUGACCGGCCACAUUGGGACUGAGAUACGGCCCAGACUCCUACGGGAGGCAGCAGUGGGGAAUUUUGCACAAUGGGCGGAAGCCUGAUGCAGCAACGCCGCGUGCGGGAUGACGGCCUUCGGGUUGUAAACCGCUUUCGCCUGUGACGAAGCGUGAGUGACGGUAAUGGGUAAAGAAGCACCGGCUAACUACGUG